CGGAGCCUAGAGCUUGCCAUUCAUUUCAAGUAUUUUGAAGCAUAAAUGGUCUCUUUUUUUCGAUUAAAAUUAUAUUUAUUUAUAUUUUAAUGUCGUAAAUCUAGAUAAUUCUGUGGUAAUUGUUAUGCUGUCCUAUAUAUUACUAUUACUAUCUUCGCCUUCACUCGAACUGUCAUGGAUAAUGGCGUGUACCACCAGAUGAUGUGACUACCGCGGGAUCUGCAGUUUUGCUGUGGGCUGUUUCUCUGUUGUCUGGCGAAACUGACGUUCGACCUACAUUGUUCGCACGUCUCCACUUUGCCCGACGAUUUUGGAACCAUGUUUUAACCUAUGAAAAUUUUCAAUUGUACCGCCAAAUGUCGUCUAUCUUCGGGUGAAAGGUAUUUGUGAUUCAAGAAUCUCCGCUCGAGGCUUUGCGUCUGCUGUGGCGUAAAGCGCACCUGACCUCCCUUGCGUUUGGAUCCACACGGUGGCAACAGGUAGCUAUAGUGCGGUGGGUAGAACGGGAAAAGACGCGGAGAGGCUGAAAAGGUAUACCAAGGAUUAGUUCAAUAACAAACAAGGAAUAAUCAAUAAUUGAUUACAAUGAAAUGUUAGAAUUUUAUUAAAUGAAAAUAACGCUAUGAUAUUAAGGUUGUCUACGAAUUAUGGUCCCACACUAAACCAUCCCCAUAAAUAAUCUUGUGAACUGAACCGAGCAAGAGAAAUUCAGGUAAUAGUUUGUGAUACAAAAGAAAUCACAAUGAUAUAAAUAAAUAUAAAU